AAGUUCCUAUCUUUGCGAGUUUUUGAAUUUGUAAUGGUCGCCAAGUCUCUCAAUUCGAUGUUUUCCAUGGCGGAAACCCUAAUCCCCAACUGCACGCGAGGAAUUCCGUCAAGUUUCUCGAGCUCAAGACUAGCUUCUACUUCAAAUCUCCAAUCUCCGUCUUCCUUGGCAUGCAAAUCCGCUUUUUGCGAUCUAAAAUUUAGGUUUGCCACUCAACUUCGAUUCGGAGCUCGGAAAUGGGAGAUUCUUGCAGCUACAACGCCUGCUUCCGUGGUCGACGAUGGGUCCAUGAGCAUUGACUUGCGUCGUUUCAUUGAUCUCAAUGCCGGAAAGUGGAACGGGUCUUUUUACCAAUUCGAUGCUCAUGGAAACCUACUGCAAACUGUGAGUACAAAGCUUUCAGCGAGCUCCUAUGGGGAGGACGAACUGAUCAGCCUCAUUCAAACGUUGUAUAUAAAACAACCUCUCUUAGCAGGCAAUGAUGAAGUUGAAUGGGCAGAGUAUAAGAUCAAAGAGGCAAAUAUGUUUACCAUAGACAAGUAUCAACAGAUUGGGUUCUUUCCGAAAGAGAGAGCAUUUUCUCUUCAGUACCAGACUACCGGUAUGUUGGAAACUGUCCUAAGACAGGGGGUGCUUGGAGAAGCUGACAUUGAUGAAGAAUUUCCAAAAAACCUGAAGAUUCCUUCAAAGUGGCCUUCUAUUGUCUGUGAAAAUUGCCUAUAUUCUUUGGAGAAAGAUACACGGGCAAGAGCAUUUCACAUAAUGGAUCCAAAAGGCAUUCUCGAAAUGCUUAUUGUUUUUGUUGAAGAAAGAGGAAAGGAAAUGCCUGUCUUUCCAUCUUGCAAUACUGAGACCAUCGGUCUCAAUGUUUCUGAGCAGGACUUCCGAAAUCAAAUAACUCCGUGGCUUGGUCGAUGGGAAGGUCAUUCUGUUACCAAACGCAGUGGUGUAUAUGGAGCAACACUUGCGGAGGCAGACACUGUAGCUUUGUUCGAAAUGGAUGGGAAUGGCCAUUUAAUUCAGGAUAUAACUUCCACUGCUAGUGGGAGUGAUAUUACCACUAACGUCCAUUGGACCGGCACCAUAAGCGAUAAUAUGGCCACCUUUGAUGGAGGAUUCCAGUUGAUCUUUCUACCUGGAGGCAUGUGCAUGGGAUGCCCAUGUGACAUAGGCAGGCAUGUUGCCCAGUUGCAACCUUUCCACCUUGAAUUUUGUUGGAUGGAGUCGCUGGAGAAGCGGCAACGCCUCGUGCGAACUUAUGAUACAGAUGGCCUUGUGGUGUCAACGACUUACUUCUACGAAAUCAAAGGUUAAAGAAAACAGCUCCAAAACUCGCAGAAUCCCCUGCUUGUGUUACAAGGAGGAUCAGUGGAGACGGCCUAUGCAUCCCAGUAUACUUUGUAAUUGUGUACCAGUGGCCUACCCCAAUUCUCCUCGAGGUUUUUCCAAUAUUAAGUGCUUAUCAUGAUGGUGAUGGAUGGCUAUAGAAGUCUAAAUCCUUUUAACACUUUAUGGAGGAGCAAGGCUCUUCCCCAUCGGCAUUGUAUCUUUGACCAACAAGCUUAUUAUCAAGAAGAGAGGAGAAAGAGGAUAAUCAAAUCAUGGAGAGAAAGAUGAAGGUAAAGGAUACAGAAACUAGCUAUUGUUUCAGGUGAAGAAGGUGAACAACAAGCUUCAUCAUCACCUUUCCACAAACAAGAUGUGCAAGUUGUGUAACAAACAUAUAAACUCUAACUGCAAACCAGAGAAUUGUCAGCUCUCUGAUGGUGGUCGAGUAUGUUUAGUACAAAAUGAUGUGAAACAUCCUCAUAAGCUCGCAUUCAUUCCUUGUUUUGCCA